rnacentral:rRNA from 1 species
UAAUCGAUAAACCACGAAAUAUCUUACCUAUAAUAUUAUUUUGUAUACCGUUAUUAUUAGGUAGCUCUGAGAAGAAUAGAUACUAAAAUUUUCAAGAAAGUAUAUUAGAUCAAGGUGCAGACUAUAUAUAGGCAAGAAUGGGUUACAAUAAUUUUUGUUUAAAUGAAUUUAUAUAUGAAAAUAAAUAAUGAAGGUGGACUUAAUUGUAAUUUUAUAUUAAUAAGUUAAAAUGAUAUAAACACUUAAACGUGUACAUAUCGCCCGUCG